GGGGGCGUAGCUCAGCUGGGAGAGCGCUUGACUGGCAGUCAAGAGGUCAGGGGUUCGGUCCCUCGUCUCCACCA
rnacentral:tRNA from 1 species